CACGGGGGGAGCAAGCGUUGUUCGGAAUUACUGGGCGUAAAGGGCUCGUAGGCGGCCAACUAAGUCAGACGUGAAAUCCCUCGGCUUAACCGGGGAACUGCGUCUGAUACUGGAUGGCUAGAGGUUGGGAGAGGGAUGCGGAAUUCCAGGUGUAGCGGUGAAAUGCGUAGAUAUCUGGAGGAACACCGGUGGCGAAGGCGGCAUCCUGGACCAAUUCUGACGCUGAGGAGCGAAAGCCAGGGGAGCAAACGGG
rnacentral:rRNA from 1 species